rnacentral:rRNA from 1 species
UACGUAGGGUGCGAGCGUUGUCCGGAAUUAUUGGGCGUAAAGGGCUCGUAGGCGGUUUGUCGCGUCGGGAGUGAAAACACCGGGCUUAACUCGGUGCUUGCUUUCGAUACGGGCAGACUAGAGGCAUGCAGGGGAGAACGGAAUUCCUGGUGUAGCGGUGAAAUGCGCAGAUAUCAGGAGGAACACCGGUGGCGAAGACGGUUCUCUGGGCAUGUCCUGACGCUGAGGAGCGAAAGUGUGGGGAGCGAACAGG